GAUGAACGCUGGCGGCGUGCUUAACACAUGCAAGUCGAACGGAAAGGCCCAAGCUUGCUUGGGUACUCGAGUGGCGAACGGGUGAGUAACACGUGGGUGAUCUGCCCUGCACUUCGGGAUAAGCCUGGGAAACUGGGUCUAAUACCGGAUAGGACGAUGGUUUGGAUGCCAUUGUGGAAAGUUUUUUCGGUGUGGGAUGAGCUCGCGGCCUAUCAGCUUGUUGGUGGGGUAAUGGCCUACCAAGGCGUCGACGGGUAGCCGGCCGGAGAGGGUGUAGGGCCACAUUGGGACUGGGAAACGGCCCAGGCUCCUACGGGAGGCAGGAGUGAGGAAUAUUGCACAAUGGGCGCAGGGCUGAUGCAGCGUCGCCGCGUGGGGGGUGACGGCCUUCGGGUUGUAAACUCCUUUCGCUAGGGACGAAGCGUUUUUGUGACGGUACCUGGAGAAGAAGCACCGGCUAACUACGUG
rnacentral:rRNA from 1 species